rnacentral:rRNA from 1 species
UACGUAGGGAGCAAGCGUUGUCCGGAAUCAUUGGGCGUAAAGCGCGCGUAGGUGGCUCUAUAAGUCCGUUGUGAAAGUCAAAGGCUCAACCUUUGAAAGCCGAUGGAUACUGUAGAGCUAGAGUCCGGAAGAGGCGAGUGGAAUUCCUGGUGUAGCGGUGGAAUGCGCAGAUAUCAGGAGGAACACCAAUAGCGAAGGCAGCUCGCUGGGGACGGUACUGACACUAAGGCGCGAAAAGCGUGGGGAGCGAACAGG